rnacentral:rRNA from 1 species
GACGAACCGAGCGAACGUUGUUCGGAAUCACUGGGCUUAAAGGGCGCGUAGGCGGGCUGUCAAGUCUGGGGUGAAAUCCCACGGCUCAACCGUGGAACUGCCUCAGAUACUGACGGUCUCGAGGGGGAUAGGGGCGAGCGGAACUGUGAGUGGAGCGGUGAAAUGCGUUGAUAUUCACAGGAACUCCGGUGGCGAAGGCGGCUCGCUGGAUCUCUUCUGACGCUGAGGCGCGAAAGCUAGGGGAGCAAACGGG